rnacentral:tRNA from 2 species
GGACCGGUAGUUCAGUUGGUUAGAAUGCCGCCCUGUCACGGCGGAGGUCGCGGGUUCGAGUCCCGUCCGGUCCGCAA